ensembl:lncRNA
AUGUCAUAUUCCUCUCAUGAAGUAUGUCAUCUCUCCCCAACCCCUUUCAGGCUGUCCUCCAAGACUUUAAUGGGACAAAAUUCCAGAAUGAUGUUCUCGGAAUGCAUACAUGGGUUAUUUUUGGAUGGUGGAAUUUCAGGUGAUCUUUUUAGUUUACUUUCUUAUUCAUACUUCCCUGCAUUUCCUGACUUUUUUCCUUUAAGAAGCAACUAUCAUUUUUACAAAAACAUUAGUUUGAAAAAUAAUAAAAUUGAGGGGUGCCUGGGUGGCUCAGUGGCUAAAGGUCUGCUUUUGGCUCAGGUCAUGAUCCCACGGUCCUGCAUCGGAUUCCCUUUUGGCAGGGAAUUUGCUUCUCCUUCUCCCCUGCUUGUUCUCUCUCUCUCUCUCUCACAAAUAAAUAAAUAAAAUCAUUUAAAAAAUAAUAAUAAAAUUAAAACCCCUUACCA